CAAAAUCCUAGGCCCCCACCCCCAUAAAAGCAGGACCCAGGCCUGUGCACUCUCUCUCUAUCCUCACGGCCUUGCUAUGUGGCCCCCGGUGUGCUGUGCAACUUCCAGGUCUGUUGAGGACACAGAGACCCUAUGGAUGGCUACUUCAAAGAUAGAAACCCGGGUCCCUGUACCACCAAAUGGUCAACCAGAAACACAUCCACUGGCUGCUAUGUGAGGGAAGAAAAUACACUUCUGUUGUGUUAACCUACCAAAAUUGAGGAUUCAUUCCAAUUGAGUUAUUCCAAUUAUGUUAUUAGCAUUCCUCUAACUAAUAAUAUGAAUAUGCCAUUCCUUUUUGAAAGAAAUAUUUCACUCAAUGACUGACAAUGUUAGGAUUGUUGAUUUUGCUUUGGAAUUACCACAAAGGCAAGAAUUUAAUUAGCACAUGCUCUGUGGGAAAAGGGUGAGGUCAGAAGAAGUGAUAAAGCAGGAAAUCUAAUCCUCUCAGUCAGGGGUCAGGAAAUUUUUACCGUAAAAGUUAAGACAGUAAGUAUGUUCAGCUUUGUGGGCCACAUGGAUCUCUGUUGCAUAGUCUUUUGUUUUUUUAACAACUCUUUAAAAAUGUAAAAAUCUUUCCUAGCUCAUAAGCUACAAGAUAACAGACCUUGGACAAGAUCUGGCCCAUGGGCCCAAGAUUACCAAUGUCUACUCUAAGUGACUGGAGGAUGUAGGACUUGAAUCUCAUGCUGAUGAGUAAGACCCCUCUAGGGGACAUGAAUGGAUGCAUUCUACUUUAAGGCUAUGAAUUCCUUGAAGAUUGUUGGAGAAGGUCAUGGAGAAGAUGUGACCAAUAGUUGACCCAAGAGGUGGACCUGGGCAAUUGGAGGUUCCUCCUCUCCUCUUCUGUCUUUGGAAUGUACAUUCUUCCCACAGUUCCCACAGUUGGAUCCAUUUUCAAGGACACAGCCUUGAGAGAGCAAUGCAUUAUUGAGACUAUCUGAGUGGCAUAUGUAACUGAACCCCCAUUGAGGCUUCUACAUAAAUUUUCAAGAUUCUGGUGGGUGGGUGCUAAGAUCUACUCAUCAUCUUGAGGCUGCCCAAAACAAGCCUCGUGUGCAAGUUCCCUUGAUUAUUAAAACUGCCACCUACCAAUCUGGAGGGGACUGCUUCUUUCUUUGGUCUCUCCUUGCCCUCUGUGUAUGCAGACCAGUUCUGGAUUUCACUUGAGAAGCUCUCGAGUUCAAGAACCAACAAAGGCAAGAAUCAUGUUUUAUGCUUUCAUCUUAACCAUUAUUCCGCUUGAUAUAGGGCUUUCAAUUUCAUUCAAUUUUGACUCUUCUACUGCCGUGUGCAAAGCUCUGUGUUAGGCACUCUAGACUUAAGCAUAAAAUUUAUGCCUCUCUCCAAAAUAAAAUUAAGUUGAAUUGAAAUAAAAUUUAUCUAAUUGAAUUAUACUGGCAGAAUUGCAAUAAUAAUUUUAGAACAGAAUGCUAAGCAUUUUGUAAUAUACAACUAUGUCAUAUUCCUCUUCCUAGGAGCAAUAGCCUUUGCUAUCGUGGAAUGUCUAUGUCGCUUUCAAUUGUUAAUAUUUAUAUGUGGAAGCUUCAUUGAGAAAAAAAAGUGCUUGCUUUUUCCUUUGACCCGAUACAUAAAGAAACAGAGAAAAAUAUUUACAAAUUUUAUGUAAGGCUUCUAUCUGAAUAGAAAUAAAAAUCAUAGAAAUUUUGUCUGAGAUUUGGUGAUUUCGCCUAGGGGUUUGAUAUCAUAGGAUAUUAUCUUCUCAAGCUCAUUCUAAGACUUAUUUGUAUAUUUAAUUAUCCUGCACAUAGAAAUCUCUUCACAAACUUCAGCAGUUGGGCGAUUUUGGGUUCCCAGAGAAAGUUGGGGGCUAAGAAGAAGGAGUCCUGGUUUCCUUUGUCCCUUCAGUUCUAAUUAAGUUCUUUCCACCUAAUAUGUGAAUAUCCCUGCCGGAAUGAACACAGUGGAAUUACAUUCUAUGAGCAAAACCAGAGGCGUCUGGUGUGUGCCUGCUGAAAUGCGUGACACAAAAAGCCAUCUUGAAAAUGCAAUCAAUGCUCAUGCCAACAUCCUUCAGUUAGAUUAGCAACUGGGAACCCAAAAUACUCACACGGAUUUGUGACACCGUAAUGGAUUUUGAGUCUGUAUUAUUAAUGAAUGAACCCCUAGCAGAUAUGUUUGCUGAAUUAAAUGUGCGUGUUAUUUUUCUGUUUUAAUCUAUGCAUCAUCUGUCAGAUUUUUUCAGCUCUGGCUCUGGCAAUAGCUGUCUUUGAAUUGCUACAUCCUCCCCUAAGGAGCUUACCUCCCUGUACUAAAGCUCCAUGAAACUGAAUCCAGAUUUUCACUUGAAUAAGUGCAAUUGGAUAGACGCACAAUGAAGAAAAAUUAUGAUCUUGGCAAAGAAACCCAGCGUAAGGAACCAGCAGCAGCUCUGUAACAUCUCUGUUGUUCAGGACCCUUAGUGAUAACAGAAGAGACCGAGAGCACACAAAGCUCUGCGAGAGUGAGGACCCGCCUCCAGAACUGGACUUCCUUUGCAUCUAUUGUGUCCAUGAUGCUCAUCUUUUGCUUUGGAAUUUUUCUUUCUAGCCUCUAUAGCUGAUUCUCAUAAGACGUAAUUUUCAUUGAACACAUAGUGGUGGGACAGAAUUUUCUUCAUCCCACUGAGAUACCUGAGGUUAUUAUCAGUAUGUAGAAGAAAACAUUCUGAGUUCAAAGACAGACUCUUAGCGAUCCUGGCAGCUUCCGCCCAGAGACAUCACUAUAGACAAACAAAGCAUUUCUUUAAGAGAAAUCUUGUUUGUUAAGAGCUCCAAUAACAGGGUGAUAAUCACAAGUCUAAUUAGCAUUAAUCAUUAGGAUGAUUCUAUAAAUACAACUCCACCAAAAUCUUGCAGAUUCCCUCUAUAAUGAAAAUGUAUGCUAAAACAUCAUGUUUCAAAUGGCAACUGAAUAGGAUAAAUUAUUGUAGACAAAUAGCUAAUGUUAUUGCUAAUCUUUUAAACCUCAUUGGUUAAGAUGUAAUUUAGAUGUGUCUAUUUUGAGUGAAAAAUAUGGCCCAGAUAGGAGACAAACAUACACAAAUACAUGUAAAUAUAUUAAGUGACUAAGCUCAAAUGAAUAAGUCUAUCAAUAGACAACAGCUAAAAUUUAUUCUCCUCUUGAUUAAACCAGGUAUUCCUUCUGACAUUCCUUAGUAUGGAGAUGCCACACACUUUUCUCAGGUACUCACAUCCAGGUUCCAAACACUGAAUCAUCUUUUGGCCCAUCUCCAGUCUACUUUAUGCAGUUUUGGUAAUUCUCUCUUUCCCUCCAUUUCACCGCCACUGCUGUGGUUAGAUUAUUAUUAUCUUUCACACAUACAUUAUUACCAGAGCCCCUUCAGCAAUCUUUACUCUCCAGGCCUACCAGAUGUAAAUCCAAAGAGCUCUCUGCCACGGAUGAAGCUCCUCCGUGCACUGGUCUGAUAAUGUCGAUAUCCUACUCCAAACCUUAACGUUUAUUUUUAAACAUUUUUGGAAAGUUGUCUAAUUACAAGGCACCAUCCUUCUCAGGCACAAUAGACGGGCCAGGCAAUGUGCUUGCUGUUUAUAUCUUUCCCUCCUGCGAACCCUGGGAAUGCCCAACUUGUCCCUAAACUGUUAAGGGACUCCCAACAUAGAGAUCUCUGCACUCAUCAGUGGCCUCGCUCUCCCUCCAGCCACAGGUCAAACA
ensembl:lncRNA